rnacentral:ncRNA from 1 species
ACUGGACUCGACCUGGUCGAGUGGCUCAUCCGGGCGCCUAUCCCCCGGGCAAUU